AUUCGUUGCUAUGGAAAUUAAAAGUAAACAAGUAACAUCUAGGAGGAGAAACCAUUGUUCAGUGCUGGGGAGUUGGGGGAGGGCAGAUUGAGGCUAACCCUGAAGUUACAAGUGUUGACUCCUACUUGGGAAGAGGACUUGAUAUUUCCAACAAUGUUUGUGCUUUCUGGGGAGAGAAGACAAUACUCUGGUCCCUGAGGCAAAAGGUGAAUCCUCUGAAUCAGAAUACUUCUCCUGCUAUUCCUCCUUGAGUCAUCUGUCUUCUGCAGGAAUCUCAAAAUCAAGCAAAUUUGAUCCACCACCUGGCCCCUCUUUGGAAGACAAUACUCUGGUCCCUGUGGCAAACGGUGAAUCCUCUGAAUCAGAAUACUUCUCCUGCUAUUCCUCCUUGAGUCAUCUGUCUUCUGCAGGUAAGGGGCAAGGAAAGGCAUGCAAAGUCAAGAAGAUUAGGGCAGUGGGAGCCUGAACAGACUGGUAGACACCCAGCUAAGCAUCUCUCAGCUAGUGGGAGAAAGGUACACAUCAGACCCAGUUAUAAUCUUAUCCUCAUCUGUUACUUGGGAAUCCGAGUCUCUUGUUUUUGUAUCCUCACUAGGA
rnacentral:lncRNA from 12 species